UCCAUCGGGACCCCGACGGAGGUGCCGGAGAUCUUUCGGCUACAACGCAGGUGGGGCUCGUUAGCCGUGGUAGGCAAUCUGCCUAGGAGAGCAAACUCCGAACAAUAAACCCGGGCAAGUGGAGGUCGUUAGCGAAAGCAAUUCACCUAGGAGAGCAAACUCCGAUAACAAACCCGGGCAGGUGGAGGUCGUUAGCGAAAGCAGUUCACCUAGGAGAGCAAACUCCGAUAACAAACCCGGGCAGGUGGAGGUCGUUAGCGAAAGCAGUUCACCUAGGAGAGCAAACUCCGAUAACAAACCCGGGCAGGUGGAGGUCGUUAGCGAAAGCAGUUCACCUAGGAGAGCAAACUCCGAUAACAAACCCGGGCAGGUGGAGGUCGUUAGCGAAAGCAGUUCACCUAGGAGAGCAAACUCCGAUUACAAACCCGGGCAGGUGGAGGUCGUUAGCGAAAGCAAUUCACCUAGGAGAGCAAACUCCGAUUACAAACCCGGGCAGGUGGAGCUCGUUAGCGAAAGCAGUUCACCUAGGAGAGCAAACUCCGAUUACAAACCCGGGCAGGUGGAGCUCGUUAGCGAAAGCAGUUCACCUAGGAGAGCAAACUCCGAACAAUAAACCCGGGCAGGUUGGGCUCGUGAGCCGUCAUAGGUAAUACACCUAGGAGAGCAAACUCCGAACAAUAAACCCGGGCAGGUGGAGCUCGUCAGCCGUGGUAGGCAGUCUGCCUAGGAGAGCAAACUCCGAACAAUAAACCGGGGCUUGUGGUGCUCGUUAGAUGUCGUAGACAAUCCACGUGAUGGGAACACCAAAGAAAAGGAAAAUAAAAAGGAACACCAGAAAAAGGAAAAUAUAGUAACAAAACAUCAAGAAAAUAAAAUAAAAAACACAGAUCAUCCACCUUCAGGCCCUAACAUCUCCAAAAUUAUGGGUGAGUCUUUUCUGGGGAGAAAGAGGCUCAUCCAGACCAAAGAACAUCAAAAAGGGAUGAUAUAGAAAGGAACACCAAAAAAAUGGGAAAAAGAGAAAAAAAACAUCGCAAAAGAAAAGUAACAACAAUAACAGAACAACGUCAAGAAAAGUAACAUACAAAGAAACAUCAUCCACCAUUCGGCCCCAAACUAACAUCACCAAAAUUAUGGGUGGGUCUUUUCUGGGGAGAAAGAGGCUCACCCAGACCAACGAAGAACAUCAAAGAGGGA